GAAAUGCGAUAAGUAGUGUGAAUUGCAGAAUUCAGUGAAUCAUCGAAUCUUUGAACGCACAUUGCGCCCUUUGGUAUUCCUUAGGGCAUGCCUGUUCGAGCGUCAUCUAAACCUUCAAGCCCUGCUUGGUGUUGGGUGCCUGUCCCGCCUCCGCGCGCGGACUCACCUCAAAUCCAUUGGCGGCCCCCGCGUCGGCCACGAGCGCAGCAGAAACGCGAACUCGUGAGCCCGUCCGGGCGGCUCCCAGAAGCUACACCCACCCAGUUUGACCUCGGAUCAGGUGGGGAUACCCGCUGAACUUAAGC
rnacentral:misc_RNA from 1 species